AAUAAACUGGAAACACCUCGUGCAUCACAUGCAUCACGAUAUUCGAGUAAUUCUGCCAGCCAUAUACCCGAUAAAAAAAUAGUAAGGUCACGAUUAGCGACUCAUAUAAAGUAUGGAAUCACCGCGACCCCGUCAAACACGAUUUAAAGGAAAAGCUCUGCUCGUCGCCAAAUUUUGUUUUUCUCCAUCAUGAAAGUAGCGUUGUUUUGUGUCUCCGUAGUGCGGAUUGUAUCUGGUCAGCAAAUAUCUAUGUGCCCGGCAAAAGUGUACAAUUCAUCGGGAACGAUGAACAUUUUUUGGGCACCGUAUCAUGCCGGAAUUUACGAGGUAAUUUUACCGGCUAUCGCGAAAUUGGAAGCCCUGAGCACUGUCUAAUGCUUUACCAAAGAUCGAACUGCGAUAAAAAUGGUCCGAAACUUAAAAUGCCCGCCAAAUCAAGAUGGAAUUGGGACCUGAAGCGCAAGGACCGGCCACAAUCCCUUGGAUGUUGCUAAAUUUCAUUUCGUCGGUGAAUCUGUAGACCGGUUUUAUUUUAAUUAUUUAUUUCAUUUAUUUAUUGAUUGAUGUAUUUUUACUUAUAAGUAAUUAAACAACUUGAUCUUAAUGACAUUGAUUUGCUAUGAUUUCCUGAUGUAAUACCAGACGAAGCCAGACAGAAUAUUGAAGAUGAAAUUACCAAACACGUCUCUUGUUUGCGGUCUUACAAAAUCUCCGCUCCCGUUUUAUUUUUUUAAAGGAGGACAAAUCAGUAUUAUUCCUUGAAGUUUUCACAGAAUUUCCUUUGUGCGUAAAAGAAAAAUCACGGAAGUUUGACAUUUUGAUUGGCUCCGUCACAUUUUUGUACUAUAUUGUCCUGUGAUACACGGAGAAGAAAACUUCGUGCGUGGGACCCAAAGUUUAGGUCAUAUGGACCUCUGAAGUUUUUGGAUUGAGCAUCCGAACACUUAAGGUCCAGCUGCUGAGGUUUGGAUCACACAUCUGAAACUUCAGUUCUUACAUCUGAAGUACUUCGGUUUUCACAUCCGAAAAACUUCGGUUCUCACAUCUGAAGUACUUCAGAUGUAAGAACUGAAGUUUCAGAUGUGUGAUCCGAACCUCGACAGCUAGAUCUAAAGUGUUCAGAUGCUCAAUCUGAAAACUUCAGAGAUCCAUAUGACCUAAACUUCGGGUCCCACGCACGAGGUUUUUUUCUCCGUGUAACACAUGGUUUUACUAAUUCCGCGGUUACACUCGAACUUUUCUUUCGGCACGUGCUGCCUCCGGUGCAGCGGAGGAGCUGCAUUUUCGGAUGAGGAAUCUACGCGAGAGAAUGUGUCGAAUGCGCGAGAGGAAAAGAAAAAAAACCAUGCUGGUUUAGCCGAGCGCUAAGCAACGGGGCUUGAGCUGACGUGAUAACUCGGCAGUUUGUAUUUAUUCCAAUGUUAAUAAGCCCGCUCCAGACCGUGAAGCUAAUUAUUUUGAAUGGGAAGACUUUCAUUUUCUAGCAAUCCAUACUUCCACCCGGCGUGACACCCACGCCAAGUUGCCGGUUUCUUUCCACGCUCCGCAGAAAAAAACAAGCUGUGUAACACCUCUCCCUUAAAAGAGGUGAAAAUAACAUCCAAGAGCACUGACAUGCUAAGGAAAAACGUCGUAUGAGCCUUCAGGCGUUGCCACAUUUUCUUUAAUAACCAAUGAAUAUACUGGUAGAAUUCUGAAUAUUUUAGACAAUUUUUCAGACAAUUUUGUUCCCGAUUUGAUCUAGAAUAUCGGAAAAUGCUAUGGAAAAAUAAGCAUAACUUCCUUCAAAAAUACAUGUUUUAUUCGGGGAUUUUUGGCAACUCUUGACUGAUCAUACGGCGUUCUUCCUUAGCACGACAGAGUAUAGGUGCGUGUAAAAUUGGGAAGAUUAGCCAUGUGUACACGCAGUAAGAAAAAGUAACCAAAAUAUUGUGUUAAUAUAGGGAGUAAGGCACGAAGUAACACAAGCUGUUGGUUCACUGAAAAAAAAAUCUCGGUGUAUUUACCAAGAAAAGGGUAAAAUUACCAAGAAUUCAGGGUUCUAUUUGAUCCCUGUUUUUUCUUGGUAAAAUUACCAUUUAUGGUAUUGGUAAUUUUACCGAGAAAUCUCAGUAAAAUUAUUGAACUUACGGCAAAGUUACCGGUGGACCUUGGUAAAA
rnacentral:lncRNA from 1 species